rnacentral:rRNA from 1 species
UACGUAGGGUCCGAGCGUUGUCCGGAAUUACUGGGCGUAAAGAGCUCGUAGGUGGUUUGUCGCGUUGUUCGUGAAAUCUCACGGCUUAACUGUGAGCGUGCGGGCGAUACGGGCAGACUAGAGUACUGCAGGGGAGACUGGAAUUCCUGGUGUAGCGGUGGAAUGCGCAGAUAUCAGGAGGAACACCGGUGGCGAAGGCGGGGACCUGGUCAGACACUGACGCUGAGGCGCGAAAGCGUGGGGAGCAAACAGG